AGUUAACUAGGCAUCUAUAGGAUG
rnacentral:miRNA from 1 species